GCAGCAGCCGCGGUAAUACGGGGGGGGCAAGCGUUGUUCGGAAUUACUGGGCGUAAAGGGCGCGUAGGCGGUUUGCUAAGUUGACUGUGAAAACUCUGGGCUUAACCCAGAGCCUGCAUUCAAUACUGGCAGGCUAGAGUUCUGGAGGGGAUAGCGGAAUUCCUGGUGUAGCGGUGAAAUGCGUAGAUAUCAGGAGGAACACCGGUGGCGAAGGCGGCUAUCUGGACAGAGUCUGACGCUGAGGCGCGAAAGCUAGGGGAGCAAACAGGAUUAGAUACCCUGGUAGUCCUAGCCCUAAACGAUGGAUACUUGCUGUGACUGGGAUUGAAUCCAGUCGUGGCGAAGCUAACGCAUUAAGUAUCCCGCCUGGGGAGUACGGUCGCAAGGCUGAAACUUAAAGAAAUUGACGGU
rnacentral:rRNA from 1 species